rnacentral:lncRNA from 1 species
CACACUCUCAGACCCGCAGACAUCAAGGUGGUGGCCGCGCUCGGAGACUCUGUCACAGCCGGAGUCGCCGCUAAAGCCAAUAACUUCUUCGACCGGAAUAAAAAGUACAGAGGGGUGGCAUGGAGCAUCGGAGGAGAUGCAAGUUUAGACACUGUGACCACAUUACCGAACAUUUUAAAGAAGUUCAACCCCAAACUAGUGGGUUUCUCAGUCGGUCAGCUGGAUAUGAGGAAGGGUUUCAACAUGGCCGAGCCUGGAGCUAAGUCCAUGUAACAAUACAAAUUCAGACAAGACACUUCCUAAAGUUUACCAUACAGAUACUG